rnacentral:lncRNA from 1 species
CCCAAAACGUAGCCAUCGCUAUCCUCUUUCAUCCAAUGUGUUUACUAUUGUACUAGAUGUUAUGGUUCUUUCAUAAAUGUCACCAAAGCACAGCCUCCUCCCUCCAACUCCUCCAUAGACUCUAAUGUUAAAAUGGCUCUGAAGGUUCGUUUGAAAAUCAGAAGAGCAUGGUGUUUUUAUACUGUCACCACGUCCAUAUAAUAAACUCCACAGGCAUGAAACUGAGAAUUAGGUAGACUGGACAUUGCUGCCGCUCACGGUGAAAGAAUUUCGUGAAUAGGACCUGUACUUUUCAUUUGGGAGCGAUUUGUUUCGGCCUGACUUUUCUGUUCAUUUUAAGCAGCAAAAGUGAGGUGCAUGUCUGUGUGCGUGUGUACUGAGCCAUUGGGUGCAGUUACUAUAGCACCAGGCUCACACCUGCCUGCCUAACGAGCUCUGUCUCUCACUCUGCCAAGAUUCAUCUUAAACACUUCUCUUUCAACUGCUGCUGUGUCCACAGUGUUUGCUCUACAGCCAUCAUUUUACCCUCAAAACGAAGCCAUCGUUCUUCUCUUUCCAACAGCAUGUCUUUCAAAGCUCAGAGAUGUAAACCUUUAAAAGUGUGUGGAUCCAAGUGGAGGGAUUACACUUUAGUCAUUCAGUGAUUCAAAGAAUAUGAACUUUUAAUAUUCAUUCAGAGGUUUUCUGACUCUAAAUUUUCUGUUCUCAUUUCUUAGGUUUUCCAAAUUUUAAUUUAAAAACUUUUCAGCUAUUUUCCAACUUCUUCUGUGUGAACAUCAGCUUUCAAAAGUUCUGCACUUUUGUUUUCAGGUUAAAAACUCUGUAUUUUCCAGCUCAUUCAACAUUUUUAUUUUUAACUCAAAAUUCAGCAAUUAAUUCAUUUCAGUGCAUACAUUCAGAUUCAAGCAUUCACACUGCAGUUUCUUCAGAAAAUGCACUUUCUAGUUAUUAUUAUUAUUAUUAUAUCAUAUUCCGUACGUUUUUGUGCAUCUAUCUCCUUCAACACCGUUCAACUUAGAAAAACCAUUCAAACACCAUUAGAUUCCUCUUCUUUUGGACAAGUGUGCUUGUAUUUUUCUCAUUUAUAACAUUUAUAUUUUUAAAAUUAUUCAACUUUUUUCAACAAAAUUUUCCCAUGUAUUUCAAUGGGGAGACCCUUCAAAUUCUCCUUCAACUUACUCCUCUUUAAACUGUAUGUACUUCCACAUACGUUGACAUAGAUCCACCAUUCAAACUUUAAAACGAAGACAAGACAUUCAACUAUUCAAGUUGUAUUUAUCUUUUCAAUAUCUAUUAUACUUUUUCUUCAGUUCCAGUUUAAGUUUCAUGAUGUUUUUUCAGCCGUUUCAGAGUUUAUAAUGGGUGUGUAUGGGACGGAAUGUUGGGGCUAGAGUGAGACAGCUCAACUGCUAGAGUGAGAGGAGCAAAAAAAUUCAUCUUAAAAUAUUUUUUAAAACUGCUGCUGUGUCCACAGUGUUUGGUCUACAGGUAUGAUUUUACCCUCAAAACGUAGCCAUCGCUGUCCUCUUUCACCAAAUGUGUUUACUAUUGUACUAGGUGUUAUGGUUCUUUCAUAAAUGUCACCCAUGCACAGCCUCCUCCCUCCAACUCCUCCAUAGACUCUAAUGUUAAAAUGGCUCAGAAGGUUCGUUUGAAAACCAGAAGUACAGGCUGUCUUUACACUGUCACCACGUCCAUAUAAUAAACUCCACAAGCAUGAAACUGAGAAUUAGGUAGACUGGACAUUGCUGUCGCUCACGGUGAAAGAAUUUUGUCAAUAGGACCUGUACUUUUCAUUUGGGAGCGAUUUGUUUCGACCUGACUUUUCUGUUCAUUUUAAGCAGCAAAAGUGAGGUGCAUGUCUGUGCGCGUGUAUAUGGAGCCAGUGGGUGCAGUCACUAUAGCAACCAGGCUCACACCUGCCUGCCUGCCUAACUAGCUCUCUCUCACUCUGCCAAUAUUCAUCUUAAACACUUCUCUUUCAACUGCUGCUGUGUCCACAGUGUUUGCUCUACAGCCAUCAUUUUACCCUCAAAACGAAGCCAUUGUUGUUCUCUUUCCAACAGCAUGUCUUUCAAAGCUCAGAGAUGUAAACCUUUAAAAGUGUGUGGAUCCAAGUGGAGGGAUUACACUUUAGUCAUUCAGUGAUUCAAAGAAUAUGAACUUUUAAUAUUCAUUCAGAUGUUUUCUGACUCUAAAUUUUCUGUUCUCAUUUCUUAGGUUUUCCAAAUUUUAAUUUAAAAACUUUUCAGCUAUUUUCCAACUUCUUUUGUGUGAACAUCAGCUUUCAAAGUUCUGCACUUUUGUUUUCAGGUUAAAACUCUGUAUUUUCCAGCUCAUUCAACAUUUUUAUUUUUAACUUAAAAUUCAGCAAUUAAUUCAUUUCAGUGCAUACAUUCAGAUUCAAGCAUUCA